rnacentral:rRNA from 1 species
GUCCACGCCCUAACGAUGUCAACUGGUUGUUGGGUCUUCACUGACUCAGUAACGAAGCUAACGCGUGAAGUUGACCGCCUGGGAGUACGGCCGCAAGGUUGAAACUCAAAGGAAUUGACGGGACCCGCACAAGCGGUGGAUGAUGUGGUUUAAUUCGAUGCAACGCGAAAACCUUACCCACCUUUGACAUGUACGGAAUCCUCCAGAGAUGGAGGAGUGCCCGAAAGGGAGCCGUAACACAGGUGCUGCAUGGCUGUCGU